rnacentral:lncRNA from 1 species
GAUUAGUUAAAACAAAAUUAAGUAAAAAAUAGAAUAUGUAUCAAGGGAGAAUGGGAUAUGAAUGAAGUUUGGGAAGCACUGGAUUAUCUGAUUUAAGGUUCUUCAGAACAUAAUUUGAAAACAACCCUAUGAUUUAACUUCAGUUUACCAAUAACUUCAGUGAGAAAGUAUAUCAUUUUACUAAUGAAGAUAGAAUUCAGGGCUGAGGGUGUAGUUGAAGGGUAGAGUGGUUCCUUAGCAUGCACAGAGUCCUGAACUCUAAAACAACAAAACAGGUUCAGCAAAGAAGUAAGUAUCUUGUCCCAAAUUACACAGCUAGUGACAAGACCUAAGUCUAUCUGAUUCCCAAAACCACCUCCUUACCAAAUCUGGAAGUAAGACAGAGCUGGGGAAUGGAACAGAAAAGACUGAAACAAUUAGACCAAAACAUGUGAGUGCUUGGUUGACUAAGUUGUCCUGAGUACCGCUUUAAACAAAUAUUCAAGUAUUUCUAUAAAACAACUUAAUUUAUGACCCUAAACAGAAAUCCUAACUCAAGUCACCAUUGGGCUUUCUUCCUUUGAACUUCCUCACCUGGAAGGUGUUCUCUGGGUUUCCAGCAUGUGUGUGAGUGAGUGGAGUCUAAUCAUAGGUCAUUGUGGUUGCUGUUGGCUUCAUUGUCCAAGCCCACAAUCCCUAGCUUCUGGCCUGUACAACAUGUGGGCACUAAAAUCUCUGGACUGGCUAGGACUCUGUACAUAGGGUCCCAUAUUUCCUAGAAUGUUAGCCAGCCACCUGCUCUCUGGUUUGGCACUUCCCAGGACCACAGCCAUGGGGUAUGAACCAGGGCUCCCUCUCUUUCCUUACUGGCCAGGGACUUUCUCAUCCCUUGCUGUGCUAACCAAGACCCUCUGCCUCCACAUUCAAACCAUACUCUAUGUCUUAUCCUUCACUAUGGGCUUUAACAGCACGUUAAACUCACAACUCAUUUCUAGUAGAUCUAGUUUCCUUUUCCAGAGAAAGCUUAAUUUAAAAAUAUAUUUAUUUUUUAGUUGUAGUUGGACACAAUACCUUUAUUUUAUUUAUUUAUCUUUGUGGUGCUGAGGAUCGAAUCUGGGGUCUCCCGCAUACUAGGCUAGCCUUGUGCUGCUGAGCCACAACCUCAGCCUGACAGCUUAAUUUUUAACCCUUUCAAAACUGUUGCCUAUAGGGGCUAAUGUUCUUCAUCAACCUGGAUGAGAACCUCAACCUACUCCAAGUAAUUAUAUGAUAUUUGUGUACCAUAUCAAACAAAAU